rnacentral:rRNA from 1 species
UACGUAGGUGGCAAGCGUUGUCCGGAUUUACUGGGCGUAAAGAGCGCGCAGGCGGUCGAUUAAGUCGAGUGUGAAAGCCCCCGGCUCAACUGGGGAGGGUCACUUGAUACUGGUCGACUCGAAGGCAGGAGAGGGAAGUGGAAUUCCCGGUGUAGUGGUGAAAUGCGUAGAUAUCGGGAGGAACACCAGUGGCGAAGGCGACUUCCUGGCCUGUUCUUGACGCUGAGGCGCGAAAGCUAGGGGAGCAAACAGGG